UCUUGCUUUGGCAUAAAAUAUUCUAAAAUUAGAACGAUACAGAGAAGAUUAGCAUAGUCCCUACGAAAGGAUGAAAAAAGUUUAGGUUAGGUUUAGGUUAGAUUU